GCAGAAAAAGCAACGGCUAACUACGUGCCAGCAGCCGCGGUAAUACGUAGGUUGCAAGCGUUGUCCGGAUUUACUGGGUGUAAAGGGCGUGUAGGCGGAGCUGCAAGUAGAUGUGAAAUCCGGGCUCAACCCAUGAACUGCAUUUGAAACUGUGGCCCUUGAGUAUCGGAGAGGCAAGCGGAAUUCCUAGUGUAGCGGUGAAAUGCGUAGAUAUUAGGAGGAACACCAGUGGCGAAGGCGGCUUGCUGGACGACAACUGACGCUGAGGCGCGAAAGCGUGGGGAGCAAACAGGAUUAGAUACCCUGGUAGUCCACGCUGUAAACGAUGAAUACUAGGUGUGGGAGGACUGACCCCUUCCGUGCCGCAGUUAACACAAUAAGUAUUCCACCUGGGGAGUACGACCACAAGGUUGAAACUCAAAGGAAUUGACGGGGGCCCGCACAAGCAGUGGAUUAUGUGGUUUAAUUCGACGCAACGCGAAGAACCUUACCAGGACUUGACAUCCAACUAACGAAGUAGAGAUA
rnacentral:rRNA from 1 species